GAAAAUGAAAGAAUAUGUCUCAGGGGCCAAGCACAGUUUAGAGCACAUAAAAGAAGCUUAAAAAUGAUGGUUACUUGUCUUACCUGGGUUCCUGCAGACGCAGACCCUGAGACAAGAAUCCAAGUGCAAGAGAUUUUCUCAGGAGAUGAUUCCAGAAAACACCGGGAAGGAAUAGGAAAGUGAGACAGCAAGAAGAUGCAGCCACUAAAGGGUGACUGACCAUGGUACAACCGGAGCGCAGUUCCACUGAGGUCUGGAAAAUGGUGCAAAAUACAUGCCCAAGCUACUCCCACUAAUCAGUGAAGAAGGUGGGGGACUGAUCUACCAGCUUCCACUAGUCAUUGGUUGAGUGCUGCUCCCAAGAGAUGCAAAUUCCCCCCAAUUUCCGGGCUGCCUCAUUUACCUUCAGAGCUGAUUCCAGGCACAAAGAGAAAGUCCUGGUGCAAAGAGAUGCAGAUGCUGACCGCUGGGAGUCAGACAGGUGGGCACUGAAGCGGUAAGAGUGUCUGGGGAGUUCCCUUCAUGGCUCAGUGGGACUCGUAUCCAUGAGGAUGCAGGUUUGAUCCCUGGCCUUGCUCAGUGGGUUAAGGAUCCAGCCUUGCCAUGAGCUGUGGAGUAGGUUGCAGAUGCAGCUCGGAUCCCGUGUUGCUGUGGCUGUGGUUGUAGGCCUGCAGCUACGACUCCGAUUUGACCUCAAGCCUGGGAAACUCCAUAUGCCACAGGUGUGGCCCUUAAAAAAAAAAAAAAAAAAAGAAGAAGAGGUAGCCAAACUCACGCUUAAUAAAAGGAAUGCAAGUAAGAGAGUCCAUUUUUAUCCACUAAAUUCACAAAGAUGAAAAGCAUAUUUUUAUAUAUGUUAGUUGGAAGAGGGCAGUAAUCUCCCCCUUUUAGAAGAAAAAUUGUUACAAUUCAUGCAGAGUUAAAAGCAAAUAUUCUUAACCCGACCACUCAUCAUCCACUUCCAGGACUUGCCUUGCGGCGUUAUGCACAGACGUGGAGUUCCAUCUGCAAUAGGAAAAGUCUGGAAAUGACAGAGAAGUCCAUUAACAAGUGAAAAGUGGUGCAGAACAUCGUGAUGGGCUGAAAGUGCCCUCCUAGAGAUGUGUGCAAGUCCUAGCCCAGGACCUCAGCAUGUGACCUAGUUUAGAAACAGAGUUACUGCAGGUGUAAUUCGUUCAGAUUGGAACAGGGAAGGGCCAUCAUCUAAUAAUUCUGGUGUCCUUAUAGGAAGAGGUGAGACACAGAGAGGAGAAGUGAGGUGAAGGCAGAGGUGCACAGGGGGAGGGGGGAGAGACAUGUGAUGAUGGAGGCAGAGGUCCGAGGGAUGCAGCUGUGAGACACGGAGAGCCAAGAAUCAUUGGUCACCCCCAGAAGCAGGAGAGAGGCACAGGAUGGUUUCUAUCCAGAGUCCCAGGGGAAGCGUGGCCCUGCUGACACCUUGACCUUGGACUUCCAGCCUCCGGACCUGCGAAGGAAUAAACUUCUAUGGUUUAAGCCACACAGUGUGUGGAAGUUUGUUAUAACUGCUUUAGGAAACCGAGACAGACACACAUGCUAGAGCUGGACCGCCUGGGUAGCACCCCUGCUCAGCCACUGACUAGGCUUAGUCUAUGGCCU
rnacentral:lncRNA from 1 species